rnacentral:rRNA from 1 species
UACGGAGGGUGCGAGCGUUGUCCGGAAUCAUUGGGCGUAAAGGGCGCGUAGGUGGCGGGACAAGCGUGCGGUGAAAGCUCGGGGCUCAACCCCGAGUCGGCCGUGCGAACUGUUUUGCUUGAGCACUGUAGAGGCAGGCGGAAUUCCGGGUGUAGCGGUGGAAUGCGUAGAGAUCCGGAAGAACACCGGGUGGCGAAGGCGGCCUGCUGGGCAGUAGCUGACACUGAGGCGCGACAGCGUGGGGAGCGAACGGG